AACUCUAAACCCUAAAACAAACUCUAGAUCAAACCUUAGAUCCUAAAUCAAAUCCUAAAUCAAAUCCUAUACAAAUCUUAAAUCCUAAAUCAAAUCCUAAAUCGAAUCCUAGAUCCUAAAUUAAUUCCUAGAUCAAAUCCUAAAUCCUAAAUCAAAUCCUAAAUCAAAUCCUAAAAAAAUUCUAAAAUCUAAACUAAAUCCUAAAUCAAAUCCUAGAUAAAUCCUAAACCCUAAAUCAAACCUUAGGUUAAAUUAUAGAUUCUAAAUCAAAUCCUAAAAAAAUUCUAAAAUCUAAACUAAAUCCUAAAUCAAAUCCUAGAUAAAUCCUAAAUCCUAAAUCAAACCUUGGGUUAAAUUAUAGAUUCUAAAUCAAAUCCUAAAUCAAAUCUUAGACAUAUUCUAGAUCCUAAAUCAAAUCCUAAAUCAAAUUCUAGACAAAUCCUAAAUCCUAAAUCAAAACCUAGACAAAUCCUAAAACCUAAAUCAAACCUUAGAUCAAAUUUUAGAUCCUAAACCAAAUCCUAAUCCUACUAUAUCAAAUCCUAGUGCAGUUAAAAACCUCAAUAUCUAUCAAUUGAACUAUUGAUCUUGCU
rnacentral:lncRNA from 1 species